CUUCCUUAUAUAGAUAAGGACCUCUUAAUUCAUGGUAAGUUGGACACUUCAUUCCAUGUCCGUAUUGACCAACGAGCUCAAUAAAGUCUCCAAAAGUGUCAUAGUUGACACAAUUGAAGGGGAGCCCAGCAUCAUAGACCCAUCGUGCAAAAGCACUAACUGCACGCUCCCUCAAAAUGUCUCUAGCAACUUGUUGUAUCUUUUCCACCGUCUUUCGCUCCCUUUGCUCCCUGCUUCUUUGAGAAGUAGCAAUCAAUAGGACCUUUAGUCGAUGAUCCAUGGCUUGACCCAUAUCUUCCCCGUUUUGUUGGAAGUGACAAUUUUUCAUCAUCGUCGUCA
rnacentral:lncRNA from 1 species